GUUGAUAUAUAUGACUUGAUAGUCAGCUUCCCAAGCUGAAUGUCGUGGGUUCGAGUCCCAUCAUCCGCU
rnacentral:tRNA from 1 species